CAGUAGCCGCGGUAAUACAGAGGGUGCAAGCGUUAAUCGGAAUUACUGGGCGUAAAGCGCGCGUAGGUGGUUUGUUAAGUUGAAUGUGAAAUCCCCGGGCUCAACCUGGGAACUGCAUCCAAAACUGGCAAGCUAGAGUAGGGCAGAGGGUGGUGGAAUUUCCUGUGUAGCGGUGAAAUGCGUAGAUAUAGGAAGGAACACCAGUGGCGAAGGCGACCACCUGGGCUCAUACUGACACUGAGGUGCGAAAGCGUGGGGAGCAAACAGGAUUAGAGACCCCGGUAGUCCCUGUCUCUUAUAC
rnacentral:rRNA from 1 species